AUCCGAGCGGCGCUUCCUCAUCACCAGCCGUCACCUCUGCCUCCAGCCCCACACCAUCAUUAGUAGCCACCGCCGUCAAUCAAUUACGUUCUUUUCUCCGACGAGGGAAACUCACUCCUCUUUGUUCAAAACCAUUAUUGUUACUCCUUCCUUCCUGACCUGGACUGCUCUUUCGAAUUUUGACUUAUUUCCUGAAUUUUGAUUGUAACUUGUGGCAGACUGUUGGGGCAGCGUUUUGAAAUAAAGUUGACACUACCCUAAUAGCAAGCAAAGCAUUAAGCUCUCUCUCAGUGGCGUACUAACAAUCGUGAGUGAAAGCAUCCAAUCAUAAUCCUAGGGCCAUGAAGACGCUUAAGUCGUGCACUAAAUCAGCUUCUGUUGCGAACAAGAAGAGGAAAAGAAAAGAAGGCAGAGGUGACAACAAAAGGAAAGAAUCUAAUACUGAAAAACAUCUUAGGAAGCUGAACUAUGCGUAUGAUGACAUGGAACAAGUGUCUGAUGAUGAGUCUCCUAGAAGCAAAGGUGUGGAAAGUAUGUCAGAAGACCCUGAGGUUAAUUGACAAUAGAGCCUAGAAAAUUGACAAUACAUUGUUAAUUGGGAUUUAUGUGUAAUUCAUUCUUGUUUUUAACAUAUUUUAUAGAAAUAAUUUUUUUUA